GUGACCUGUAGAAGGAGUGCAGCCGCUGCGUUACAAGAGGAAGGACCGGCUCUGCAAGUGCGCACCUCAGUCUUCAGCAGCUAUCACUCCCUGGAUUCUGGCUUCUGCCAGUUGAGUGUGAUCAAAAAAGAGCUGAUCUACAGUGCCUAACAAGAACAAUAUAACCGAUUUGGUCAGCCACCGGUGCAACACUUUCCACUAUACCGUGUCCACAGCAUGAGUACAUCUCUGGCAUCGGAGCCUACAAGGAAAAAGCCAAAUCGGUCAUUUACCUGGAGAGUUGUGUAUGUGCUGUAGAGAAGUCACUGGGAACAUGGCACAGAGGAAGAGGCGCGCACGGAGCCUGCACACAGGUUUUUAUGUCUUAGUCUUCAAUACCAGUAUGUUCACCACUAAUUUAAUUGGCACAAAUUCCAUUUCCCAAAACACUGUAUUCUCUAUACCAUAUGCCUUUACACUCCAUUAAGAUAGCUACAAUACACCACAGACAUAGUUUUUUUUUCUGCCAUACAUACUGUAUUCACCUUUCCACAAUAUGCAUCAAGUUGUAAAUGUAAUAGUCAUCAUAACAGUGUCUUUCAUAUCAACGGAUGAUGUAUCAGGCAUUGCAGAGAGAUAAAGU